AACUAACCUUGUUAAUUUAUCUGUGCGUGUGUUUGUGGUCCGUCCGCAAGACACGAGUAACGAUUUCGUUAAAUAUGUUGUAAAAUACGGCUUUAAAGAUGUAUGGUGGUGGUUGUUUUUGAUAGCGGGUCGAUAGGGGAAAAUGGAAACGUUAAUAAACAAUAAAGAAUUGAAAAGCGAACCGCCAGACGACUUUCCCGCAUCUGUAAACAAUUGCUUGACGUCUUGUAAUCUUGUUAAAGUUGAGGAUUGUAGUUACGAAGACGACCUAGAUGCGGAUUGUAAACCAGAUUGCGUGAAAUUGCACGCCAAGGAUGCGAUAGAAGGAAGGGGUGUUACCCAUACCCCUUUUGGCGAUCUUAAUCGAAAUGACAAUUGCAACGUGAAAUCGGAAAGUUCGGACGACGAGUCGUCGUCCGACGAAGACGGCAUUGCCAAGUGUGAAGUGUGCAGGCUGACAUUUUUAGACGAGUACGAUUUGGAGUUGCAUCUGAAGAGUAGGCGUUUGGACGAUAAACGCUACAAGUGUUGCAAUUGCGGGAAGAUGUUCCGCGAUAACACCCAGUUGAAGGUGCACGCUAGGAAACACACGGGCGAGAAACCGUUCGAGUGCGCAAUUUGCGCCAAGAAAUUUACCGUCAACGGUAACCUCAACAAACACAUGAGGAUACACACGGGGGAGAGGAGGUACGAGUGCCACGAAUGCGGCAGGAAAUUCACCCAGUUUGCCCAUUUGGAGGACCACUUGAAGACGCAUUCAGGGGAGAGACCUUAUGUGUGCGACUAUUGCAACUCGGCGUUCAAAACUAAAGCGAGAUUGAAAAAGCACCGGAAAGGUCACGAGGAGGUCAAGGUGGGAAAAAGAUCUGUAAAGUGCCCCCAGUGUGAUAACAUGAUGAAAAACAUGAAGCAGUUGGCCACUCAUAUGAUCACUCAUGAGGCCUCAACGACAGGCCCUUUCAUGUGCCACCUGUGCGGUAAGAGUUUCAGUAAAUUCCAAACCUUGCAGUCGCAUCAAAAAAAUCACAACGCCAUAAAAGCUUUCGAGUGCAACUUCUGUGAUAAAGCUUUCGCCUCGGCUAGUCAUUUGCGGAGGCAUGUCAAUUCCCAUUCAGGGCUCCGACCGUACGCCUGCGACAUUUGCAACAGGGGAUUCGCGUCGUCCCAAAACCUGAAACGCCACCGGAUGACCCACACCGGCGAGAAGCCCUACGGCUGCUUGGAGUGCGGAAAGGGGUUUUUGACGGUGGAGAACUUGACCCGGCACAAGAGGACGCAUACCGGGGAGAAGCCGUUUUCUUGUAAAAUUUGCGAGAAAUCGUUUGCCCACAGUACAACCGCCAAGGAACACAUGAGGACCGUUCACACCAAGGAAAAACCAUUCGGAUGCACGUUGUGCGAGAAAAGGUUUCCGAUCAGCAAAAUGCUGUACCGUCACGUUCGUGAAAGGCACCCCAAGUUCUUUCCCGAAUUCAAAAGGGCGAACAGUCUCACGCCGAACGUGAGGAAAGCGAUAGACAAAAUGCAACAGGAGAGAAAAGACGCGGACCGCGCGACACACGACGACGCCCUGGAGACCUGCAAGUCGAUAAAACAAGAAAUCGACGAGGUUAAACACGAAAUCGACAACGGAGUUAGCGUACCUUUCAUAAAAGUGGAGAAGCACGAAGAAGAGUACAGCUAAUAGAAGCGAAGUUUUGAAGCCGGACUACAGUGGAACGGUUGCAACUGCGGGCUUCAAAUUUCUCUGCUGACUAAUACUAGGCGAUGCGUAGCGGCCCGCGAAAUAUCGAGCCGAUCGGACAUCGGCGGCCAUUUUGUCGGCGCGAUUAGCGGUUUUUGUUCGGGAAGUGAGUAAGCGCUCGAAAUUUCGAGAUAAAUUCGGCAGGAAUUUCAGAUGGGACCUAUUGAAAAAAAUAAAAGAUUUUCUCGAAAACGAAAAAUUUCUUGAACCGGAAGACGACGCGAGAGAUUCGGUGAAACAGCCCAAAAAUAUGCAGGGUAAUCCAGUUAUGGGAAAAAAAUCUGAAAAUUGCCGUUUAGGGUACGCAUCACACAUUACACCGAGAAAUGCCCCCCUUCCGCGCCCUUAUUUCGUCUCUCUCGAAUUACUCCGCGUCUCAGACCCUUUUGCUCCUGCUCCUCUGGAUUUGUAUCCUUAACGCGUAGUAACCGAUGACCCUUAGGAACACCGUCAGCCCUAAUAAAAAUAUCACAGCGUUCGAAUACAGGGCG